UACGUAGGGUGCAAGCGUUAAUCGGAAUUACUGGGCGUAAAGCGUGCGCAGGCGGUGAUGUAAGACAGAUGUGAAAUCCCCGGGCUCAACCUGGGAACUGCAUUUGUGACUGCAUCGCUGGAGUGCGGCAGAGGGGGAUGGAAUUCCGCGUGUAGCAGUGAAAUGCGUAGAUAUGCGGAGGAACACCGAUGGCGAAGGCAGCCUCCUGGGCCAACACUGACGCUCAUGCAUGAAAGCGUGGGGAGCAAACAGG
rnacentral:rRNA from 1 species